GGAAAAUAUUAUUAAUAAAUUAUACACAUAAUGCAUGAACAAUGCUGUAAAUUAAGCAGUAUUAUUUUUAAUUGUUCUUUUUGAAAUGCUGAUAAGCGUUGUUGGCAUUUUUUAUGACGUGUCUUGACAUGAAAAAGAAGAAAAGUAUUUUCCGCUGCAUCAUAGUUCUGGUUGAUCAGUUAAAUGAAGCUUUGGAAGUAAGCUCAUCUGAAGUUUUAAAACUUUGAAGAAUAUGAGCUGGAAUGUAAAAGUGCUGGAAGAAAGCUUUUUAUUUAGUUUCCCAUCCCAGUUGCUCGUCCUUUGUUGACAGCUUAUUGUGCACCUACAACCCUAGAAUACAUUAGAAAAAAGUUACAGUAACAGUAAAAUCAAGGUAUUCUUUUUAUAUUUUAUUUUAUUUGCAUCCAAUGUUAUUUAGUUAGACCCCCGUUAUAAUAGAGAUUAGUUUUUUUCCGCUUUUUUUAAAAAUUAAU